GAUGAACGCUGGCGGCGUGCCUAAUACAUGCCAGUCGAGCGAACAGACGAGGCGCUUGCUCCUCUGACGUUAGCGGCGGACGGGUGAGUAACACGUGGAUAACCUACCUAUAGGACUGGGAUAACUUCGGGAAACCGGAGCUAAUACCGGAUAAUAUAUUGAACCGCAUGGUUCAAUAGUGAAAGACGGUUUUGCUGUCACUUAUAGAUGGAUCCGCGCCGCAUUAGCUAGUUGGUAAGGUAACGGCUUACCAAGGCGACGAUGCGUAGCCGACCUGAGAGGGGGAUCGGCCACACUGGAGCGUAGACGCGGACCAGAGUCCUGCGGGAGGGCGCAGUAUGGAAUCGUACGCAAUGGGCGAAAGCCUGACGGAGCAGCGCCGCGUGAGUGAUGAAGGUCUUCGGAUCGUAAAACUCUGUUAUUAGGGAAGAACAAAUGUGUAAGUAACUAUGCACGUCUUGACGGUACCUAAUCAGAAAGCCACGGCUAACUACGUG
rnacentral:rRNA from 1 species